GACGAACGCUGGCGGCGUGCUUAACACAUGCAAGUGGUGCGACGAACCAGGCUUCGGCCUGGGGCAGAGCCGCGAACGGGUGGGUAACACGUGGGCAACCUGCCCUGUUGAUCGGGACAACCCGGGGAAACCCGGGCUAAUACCGAAUGUGGUGCCGGCUCAUGAGAGCCGUCACGAAAGGGAGCUUCGGCCUCCGCGACAGGAUGGGCCCGCGGCCCAUUAGCUUGUUGGUGGGGUAUGGCCUACCAAGGCAACGAUGGGUAGCUGGGCUGGGCGGCCGAUCAGCCACACUGGGACUGAGACACGGCCCAGACUCCUACGGGAGGCUGCAGGGGGGAAUCUUGCGCAAUGAGCGACAGCUUGACGCAGCAACGCCGCGUGGGGGAAGAAGGCUUUCGGGUCGUAAACCCCUUUCAGUUAGGACGAAGCUUUAUUGGUUAAUAACCAAUUGGAGUGACGGUACUUUCAGAAGAAGCCCCGGCUAACUACGUGCCAGCCGCCGCCGUAA
rnacentral:rRNA from 1 species